CCUGCCACCGUCCCGGUUCCCACGGACGACCGUAUGGCAGGAGCGGGGGACCCAUUCCGGGCAUCGGAGACGGUGUCCUCGGGGUGAAGCCGGUCAGGGCGCGAGUCCUGGACGGCCGGGUGAUUUCUCCCACCCGAACCCGACAGCUGACCUCGUAGGCGACCGGAGAGGUAGA
rnacentral:sRNA from 2 species